GGAUAAGACCACGGGAGUUCGCUUCCUGAGGUAAAAGGUGGCCUCUGCUCCUGCAAGCUAUCACUCCAAGAGGGGUCCGCGCCCUAUCAGCUAGUUGGUGAGGUUACGGCUCACCAAGGCAAAGACGGGUAGCUGGUCUGAGAGGAUGGUCAGCCACACUGGGACUGAGACACGGCUCAGAGUCCUACGGGAUGCAGCAGUCAGGAAUAUUGCGCAAUGGAGGAAACUCUGACGCAGCGACGCCGCGUGGGUGAUGAAGGCCUUCGGGUCGUAAAGCCCUGUCGGAGGGGAAGAAAAGCUCAUUGGCUAAUAUCCAGUGAGCCCUUGACGGUACCCUCAAAGGAAGCACCGGCUAACUCCGUGCCAGCAGCCGCGGUAA
rnacentral:rRNA from 1 species